rnacentral:rRNA from 1 species
UACGUAGGGGGCUAGCGUUGUCCGGAAUCAUUGGGCGUAAAGAGCGUGUAGGCGGCCCGGUAAGUCCGCUGUAAAAGUCAAAGGCUCAACCUUUGAAUGUCAGUGGAUACUGCCGGGCUAGAGUCCGGAAGAGGCGAGUGGAACUCCUGGUGUAGCGGUGGAAUUGUGACAGAUUGUCGAAGAACACCAGUGGCGAAGGCGGCUCACUGGUCCCGGUAUACGACGCUGAGGUGCGAAAGCGUGGGGAGCAAACAGG